rnacentral:rRNA from 1 species
AUGAACAUCCAUCCAAGGACCUCACGCACGAAGGAGAGCCGCCCUUGGUGGCUGCUUCAAGAAAAAGACGACGCGCCUAGGGGUGCAAACCAGGGGAGCGCGGCGGUGCCCUCGCACACACGAGUAUGGAUGAGGAGGAAGCAGUCCGUCCUUUUCUUCUUUUUUUAUGUACAGGUGUGGAGGUGGUGGAUAACACAUCCAAAAGAGAUGGCAGCGAACGAUGUGACACUCGUCUUCUACCAAGUGCAACGGAGGCGGUGGAUGGCUCGCCCAGUGGAGAUAACUCGGGAGCAGCCGGAGCUUCCCAACAACAUAGCCCAGCCUCUAGCUCCUUUGCAGGUCUACAAUGUAAGCGCACAGGACCAUGACCAACAGGUCCAUGGUGAACAGGUCCAUGGUGAACGGGACGCCGGCGUAUAG